rnacentral:rRNA from 1 species
CCUACGGGUGGCAGCAGUGAGGAAUAUUGGUCAAUGGACGAGAGUCUGAACCAGCCAAGUAGCGUGAAGGAUGACUGCCCUAUGGGUUGUAAACUUCUUUUAUAAAGGAAUAAAACGAGGCACGUGUGCCUUUUUGCCUUUACUUUAUGAAUAAGGAUCGGCUAACUCCGUGCCAGCAGCCGCGGUACUCCGGAGGAUCCGAGCGUUAUCCGGAUUUAUUGGGUUUAAAGUGAGCGUAGAUGGGUUGUUAAGUCAGUUGUGAAAGUUUGCGGCUCAACCGUAAAAUUGCAAUUGAUACUGGCAGUCGUGAGUACAGUUGAGGUAAGCGGAAUUCGUGGUGUAGCGGUGAAAUGCUUAGAUAUCACGAAGAACCCCGAUUGCGAAGGCAGCUUACUAAACUGUGACUGACAUUGAUGCUCGAAAGUGUGGGUAUCAAACAGGAUUAGAUACCCUAGUAGUC